rnacentral:sRNA from 1 species
GGUGAAUCUAAAAAUAACAAAAAAUUAAAGAGUUAGUUGUCUUCUAUCUGUGACGUAUUACGCCGAACCGGUUACUAAUGUUUGGCAUUUCGUAUUCGUAAAUUAAAAAAACCCCCGUUUUCGCGGAACAGACUAGCCGGCCGAAUAGGGCUGCGACUGCCUUUGUGUGACACCCCUUCGACUUUUCAAAAUUCAAUAAAUCCCAAAUCUUUAGUUAUUAUUUUUUAUUACCAGCUGAUCGCAACUAAUUGGAUGACGUAGUUUUGACGUAUAUACGUAUUUUCUUCUCCAUAAUAAUCACACUAACUGUUCUUCUACCCUAUGAAAUCUAUUUAAUUCAUUUAAAUCGGAGAUUACAUGAGAAGAAAGACCAUAAUCUAAAGUGAAAUUAUGCAUUGAUCACGAAAACAAAACAGGUUUCCUCAAUUUACCACUGACCUCCACAAGUAUUGAAGUGCCGAAACGCAGCUUACUUGUUAAAAGUAAUUUAUUUCAAGUCUGGCGAAUAAAGCCAGUUCAAGUUCAGCAGCAGGCAGCCACUGCAUCAGAAGCCAACAACCCGGUUAGCAAUUUAAAAAAAAUCACAAUGCACAUAAACGAGCAUACACACAUGGAUCGAAUUUGUUUGCGAUUGCAACUUGAGGUGUGCCAACAAAGUAUAAAGCUAGUUUCUUGUAAUCAAUUAUUGUGUUAUCAGCAAUCAUACAUACAAUAAUUAUUUGUUAUUAAAUUUAAAUAAAUUACUGAAGCUAGGUUGGCACCUUUAUUGUAAAUGGAAUAAGUAAAUUUAUUCCCUGUUUGUUUGAACCGGUACGGGCAUUUAAAUAACACACAUUUACGGAAGGUAAGCUUUUUGCAUGUUUAUUCAACUAUUUAUAAGCACAAUAUUCUGCUAUCUUUUCUAAUUUUAGGCAGAUAAACAACGAAACGAAAUUCAAAG